UACGUAGGGUGCAAGCGUUGUCCGGAAUUAUUGGGCGUAAAGAGCUCGUAGGCGGUCUGUCGCGUCGGCUGUGAAAACUCGGGGCUCAACUCCGAGCUUGCAGUCGAUACGGGCUGGCUAGAGUGUGGUAGGGGAGAUCGGAAUUCCUGGUGUAGCGGUGAAAUGCGCAGAUAUCAGGAGGAACACCGGUGGCGAAGGCGGAUCUCUGGGCCAUUACUGACGCUGAGGAGCGAAAGCGUGGGGAGCGAACAGG
rnacentral:rRNA from 1 species